rnacentral:rRNA from 1 species
GAUGAACGCUGGCGGCGUGCCUAAUACAUGCAAGUCGAGCGAACAGACGAGGAGCUUGCUCCUCUGACGUUAGCGGCGGACGGGUGAGUAACACGUGGAUAACCUACCUAUAAGACUGGGAUAACUUCGGGAAACCGGAGCUAAUACCGGAUAAUAUAUUGAACCGCAUGGUUCAAUAGUGAAAGACGGUUUUGUUGUCACUUAUAGAUGGAUCCGCGCCGCAUUAGCUAGUUGGUAAGGUAACGGCUUACCAAGGCAACGAUGCGUAGCCGACCUGAGAGGGUGAUAGGCCACACUGGAACUGAGACACGGUCCAGACUCCUACGGGAGGCAGCAGUAGGGAAUCUUCCGCAAUGGGCGAAAGCCUGACGGAGCAACGCCGCGUGAGUGAUGAAGGUCUUCGGAUCGUAAAACUCUGUUAUUAGGGAAGAACAAAUGUGUAAGUAACUAUGCACGUCUUGACGGUACCUAAUCAGAAAGCCACGGCUAACUACGUG